rnacentral:rRNA from 1 species
UACAGAGGUCUCAAGCGUUGUUCGGAAUCACUGGGCGUAAAGGGUGCGUAGGUGGCGUGGUAAGUCAGAUGUGAAAGCCCGGGGCCCAACCUCGGAAUUGCAUCCGAUACUACCAUGCUAGAGUACUGAAGAGGUGACUAGAAUUCUCGGUGUAGCAGUGAAAUGCGUAGAUAUCGAGAGGAAUACCAAAGGCGAAGGCAGGUCACUGGGCAGUUACUGACACUGAGGCACGAAGGCUAGGGGAGCAAACGGG